rnacentral:rRNA from 1 species
UGCAAGUCGAGCGCGCCCUUCGGGGUGAGCGGCGGACGGGUUAGUAACGCGUGGGAACGUGCCCUUCUCUAAGGAAUAGCCACUGGAAACGGUGAGUAAUACCUUAUACGCCCCCCAAUCAAAUUCCAUUUGGUUGACGGAGAUUCUGUUGAAUGCCGGAUGGCAUUUGAUGGGGGGGAAAGAUUUAUCGGAGAAGGAUCGGCCCGCGUUAGAUUAGAUAGUUGGUGGGGUAAUGGCCUACCAAGUCUACGAUCUAUAGCUGGUUUUAGAGGAUGAUCAGCAACACUGGGACUGAGACACGGCCCAGACUCCUACGGGAGGCAGCAGUAGGGAAUCUUGGACAAUGGGCGCAAGCCUGAUCCAGCCAUGCCGCGUGAGUGAAGAAGGCCUUAGGGUCGUAAAGCUCUUUCGCCUGUGAUGAUAAUGACAGUAGCAGGUAAAGAAACCCCGGCUAACUCCGUGCCAGCAGCCGCGGUAAUACGGAGGGGGUUAGCGUUGUUCGGAAUUACUGGGCGUAAAGCGCGCGUAGGCGGAUUGGAAAGUUAGAGGUGAAAUCCCGGGGCUCAACCCCGGAACGGCCUUUAAAACUCCCAGUCUAGAGUUCGAGAGAGGUGAGUGGAAUUCCAAGUGUAGAGGUGAAAUUCGUAGAUAUUUGGAGGAACACCAGUGGCGAAGGCGGCUCACUGGCUCGAUACUGACGCUGAGGUGCGAAAGUGUGGGGAGCAAACAGGAUUAGAUACCCUGGUAGUCCACACCGUAAACGAUGAAUGCCAGUCGUCGGGUAGUAUACUAUUCGGUGACACACCUAACGGAUUAAGCAUUCCGCCUGGGGAGUACGUCGCAGAUAAACUCAAGAUGACGGGGCCGCACAAGCGUGAGCAUGUGGUAUCGAGCACGCGCAGACUACACCUGACAUCUGUGG